GCGCGCCGAGGUUAGUGAAGGAAUUCGAGUGUGUGAAGCAGUUGAGUCUCGCCGCCUAAUUAGCAGACAGGCGCCAAGGCUGUUGCGAACGAAGGCGUCGGUUAACCGGCAUUGCGCCGAACAACCCGGGAGGACCACCUCAAGGACGACUGGUUGCGUUUCGGUGUGGUUUCAGGAAAACGAGGGAACCUUUCGCCCUGCAAACGUGUGAAGGCAACCAAGCCGCCCUUCCGACGACGAUUCGUUGCGUUUGACGACGUCUUCUGGGAAACAAUGAUGCCUUUCGCCCCCGCAAAAUGUGCACGCGAUUAAGCGAGCGUACAGGGUCCGAAGCGACUGUCCCUACGGGAAAAAAAUGCGUCCCGUCUUGUGCCCAAGGAUGGACUGGCGAGCCGGAGACUCCGAACAUAUUUAGGGCCGUGCCGGCCCGUAGCGCAGUCGACACUGUUGUUCGAGAUCUGCUCAAAGUCUUCGGCCUCUUAGCAGACCGGCGAGAACUCCCGUCAGCAGUAGGCGCACCUGCGUGAUGAAGUGUUUUGUGCCAGGAUGCCCUAAUCGAACAGAAAAUCGGCGCGAUGGCCUGUCCUUCCAUAGACGCUUGCAAAGGACGAUGCCACAGCAAUGAGUCAACCUUAAAGUGAAGCAGCUACAUCCACGGGAACAUAACAGCAUCAAGUUGAGCCAGUAAGUUGGUGCACAGCUGUAUGCAGCCAUAAUGCAUGUUUCCAGUUUGAUCAUACCUUUUUCAUGACUGUGGUAGAUGUCCCCCACCAUUCCUGAAGUGAAAUAUGCUUUUCUUAUAUUCAGGCAGGUCUCUCUCAAGCCACAAUGGAUAUGGACAUCUCUGAUUGCUUGUCUGAUUGAUGUGCUAGCAGAGGGUACUGCUACAUCUGCUAGCGCGUCCUUGACUGAUUCAGACAUAGCUGAUGAGCCUUCCGAAAUCCAACAUGUCCUGGCAUGUUUGAUUGUCGUAAUGAUCACAGAGCUUGCUUAAGACAUUUUCUCACAUGUGUGCCUUGGUUGAUUCAUGUUCUGAUCUGCUUUGCAAAAAUCUGGUGUUUCCCUUUAAUAUAUAUUUUGGAUUUCACCUUUAAAGUAAUUAUUUAAGUUUCAAAAAUGCAUAUGAGACUGUCAUACAGCUUUUUGUAAGAUGUUUUCGACAGAUUUAAAAGAUCUAUUAGUAAUGCUCAGAAUGAAGAGAAAGAUAGAACUGUUCAACCUAUCAUUGGCUACAUUACAGCCCUUUUUUGACACAGGUGACAAGCAUACUGCGUUCAAAUUUCAUUGUUAACACUGGCAAAAGCAAGUGCUAAUGAAUGAAAGCCAUAUAUGCUACAUCAUAAUCUCAUUUUAGUCAAUCUAGGAUAAGUACAAGAUAAGGAAAAUAAAACAAACUGCAGCAAAGCAGUGUUAUGUAAGAUGAAAAAACACUUUUUUUCAGUAAAGUUGGAAUAAGGAAAACACACUCCUUCUCUGAAUUAUACUUCAGCCAUGUCCUCUCAUUACACACAUAAUUAACACCCUUGCUAGGCUCCAACAUUUACAACAGUAAUAAAAUUUAUAACAUGCCAACUGUGCUGGUAAGCUUUAUCAACAUUUUUUGGGACAGUAGAUAAAAAAUACAGUAUAUAGCCACAGCCACUGAUCUCCCUAACAAUGUCCUGCUUGCUGGUCAUUAUUGUGCUUAAAUUUUAAAUGAAGCCAAUGGUGUCGCUAUUAGUCCCAGGUUUUAGCUUCAACUGUGCAUCUGGUGUUUCGUUUGCACGGUCAGCAAUUUCAAGUUAUGUUGCAGUAAGCAGUCCCUCCUCAUUGCACUUGGUGUAUUUUGUCCAGUCUCCCAGUCCAAGGCCCUCCAGGACGCUCAAGGGUGAAGCUUCUGCAGCACUGCCUACACACAACCCAGCGACACCUCGAACAGCAAGGCAUACUAUGCCACAGCCAGCAGAAGACGCACCUGAAAAGGCCUUUCUGAGGCAUGAAGUAUGGCGUUACACAAUUACAAACUGCGACCAAGAAGAAGAUGAAGACUCUACGGCAAUCCCAUCAACAGCUUUUUCAAAAGGUUGCUCAUCUCGAAAAUGUCAUAGAAGAUUUAUCUGACAAUCGCAUUCUAGGAAAUGAGGAUGUCGCCAUAUUGCAGAGUCUUGGUGGGGCAAAAAAAGACUUGCUCAUGCGUCAACUGCCACAUAAGUCUGGUGCCAGCAAUGUCACCCGCUUACUCGCCAGAGCUCAGGCCAUUUGCACUGACUUUGCAUUUUUAUUCCCCUAGAGCAUACAGAUAUGUACGAGCUGUUUUCAACACAUGCCUCCCGCAUCCAAAGACACUGUGUAAAUGAUAUCAAUCCAUUGAUAGGGCUGCUGACUUUUCAAAAGAGGCAAUGACUGCAUUGGCUAUCAAGGUAAAGCACGGCUCUCCACAUUAUGCAAUCUGGUUGUGGAUGAGAUGGCCAUUCAGAGAAGUAGUGUGGGAUGGGAAAAGCUUCCAUGGAUAUGUUGACAUGGGCAUUGAUGUCAAUGAUGACAGCUUUCCAGUUGCCUAAGAUGCAUUUGUUUUAAUGCUUGUUGCAAUCAAUGGCAGAUGGAAGCUGCCGAUUGGCUACUUUCUAGUGCAUGGCCUUGGUGGUGAGCAGAGGCGCAAUUUGGUGCUGCAAGCUGCUAGCUUCACUCACGAAAAAGGUGCACACAUUGUGAGUUUGACCUGCGAUGGCGCUGCAGCGAAUUUGUCAUUGCUGCACAGCCUUGGCUGCAAGAUGGACCUGACUGAGCUGGAUGCUUCUUUUCCACAUCCAGUGACAAAAAAAGCUUUUCUUUGCCAUGUUGGAUCCCUGUCACAUGUUGAAGCUACUGCGGCACACCCUGUUUGAUAAAAAGGCUAUUGUGAUACGAACAAACAGUUCAUAUUGUUGAAACACAUUGAUGAGCUGCAUGAAAUCCAGUACACAGAGGGCCUACAUUUGGCAAACAAACUUAGACAAGCACAUAUUACCUGGAAAAGCCAGCCCAUGAAAGUCUCAUUGUUGGCUCAAACGUUUAGUCAAUCGGUAGCAGAUGCUCUUAGUGACUGCAGAGCUCAAAAAAAUUCAAAAUUUUCAAAUUCCUUGCCAACAGAAGAGUUUAUCAGACAUGUCAACAAUGCAUUUGACAUUUUAAAUUCAAGACAUCCAAGGCAAGAAGAAUAGAAAGGACCGCUGUGUCCUGAAAAUGUGGCUCCUGUCACUGCGUAUGUCAAAGAACUUAUGGCCUACUUUUGCUCGCUUAGGGAGUCUGCAGCUGGUAAACUAAUGACAGGGACCAACCAAAAGACAGGCUUCAUUCGCUUUGUGGUGUGCUUAGACAACCGUCUAUACAACCACUUGGUUACAGAAAAUGGCCUAUUGGCAUAUCUUCCGACUUCCAAGCUCAGUCAGGACCACCUUGAGUUACUUUUUGCUGCAAUAAAAUCAUUUGGGGGCUGCAAUGACAACCCAACAGCAAAGCAGUUUGCAGCAGCAUUGAAGCGUCUGAUAGUUCGUAAUGAGGUCAAGGACAUUGAUGGCGGAAAUUGCUUUCUAUUGGAACACAUCGAAAUUCUCUUUGUACGCUCCUCUGAAAAAACCAUACUCCAUCGAUGUAAUUAACCUCACUGCCCCUCAGAGAAGCCCUGCAGCCAGUGAACCACUCACAGAAGCAAUUUUACAGGAUCAUGGUUACUCUGCUGACCCAGGCAGGGUGUCUGAGCUUGGGUGCCUGCGGCUCGCAGUACUGGAAGAAUUGCUACACAAGUUUUCUCGUGGGUGAAUUAUGUUCAUGAUGGCCCACACAAUUAAUUCCUUUAUCCAUCAACUUCAGCUGUCCCACCAGGUUUUAUGUUAA